rnacentral:rRNA from 1 species
UACAGAGGUCUCAAGCGUUGUUCGGAUUCAUUGGGCGUAAAGGGUGCGUAGGCGGCGCGGUAAGUCGGGUGUGAAAUCUCGGGGCUUAACUCCGAAACUGCAUUCGAUACUACCGUGCUUGAGGACUGGAGAGGAGACUGGAAUUUACGGUGUAGCGGUGAAAUGCGUAGAUAUCGUAAGGAAGACCAGUGGCGAAGGCGGGUCUCUGGACAGUUCCUGACGCUGAGGCACGAAAGCCAGGGGAGCAAACGGG